rnacentral:lncRNA from 1 species
CUUUUCUUCAGCCCUCUGCAGUAAUUCCUUAGGUUGCCAUGUUGCUGGAGUGCUCAGAUCAACAGGAGCAGAACCUCCCACUACCCUGCGUUCUGCUCCCGUGCCCCAGCCCAAAACCCUCUGCCCGCUGUGGUUUUAGUGUCCAAGGUGAGAGCUGGAGGUGAAAUGUAUGCUCAUGACAGGAGGUUCACUGCCACCCUCAGCACUCUCCUUGGGACAUCCUGCUCUUUUCCUGAGUGUGUGGGAAGCAACAACAAGUCUUUUCUAUGUGAAGGCAGGAGCUGCUAAAUUCUCCAGCCUCUGCAAUGAGAUUACUGUUCCAAAGACAGCAAUAACCUCCUCCCCUGAACAGAACCUGGAAUUUUGUAUGCAGAGCUUUCCUGUUGUGGCCAUCUGAUGUUACAGUUACCAGCAGUCACUUGGGAGCCCUACAGUGGGACCAAUCACUGGCACAUGGAGCUGUUCACAAUAGGAGGGCGAUGGAGACUGAAAGAAAAAUAUUGCUUCCACCCAACGUCACUGUACAAGUCCUUUGUUUCAAGUCAAAAUUCACUUUAGACACAAGACAGAACCAUGUAAGGUAUGGCAAAGAACAGGAAAAUACAGGGAGUAUCUGAGGAAAAAAAAAAAAAGCCAUUAAGUAUAAGCAGUAGAGCCAAGGGAGGAGGUUAUAUAUAGGUUGAAGUGUCGCAGGUGUAUGUCAUAGGGUCAUACUAGGGGUAUGUCACUAUGAACCAUUCUACCUCUCUGACUAAAGACAAAAACAAUGACACUUCUACUACUAACAUAAAAUUCCUCCUGAUUUGUGUCAGCCCUGAGUUUUCCAUAAUUUGGUAGUAGUAACACAACUUAAUUGGACGUAACUUGAUCAAAACUGAAAGAAGUGUACGAUGGAUGAGGAGCCUCUAAAACAGCUGUUCCAGAUUUGACUACCUGCCAGGCUAGAAGCUACAUUAAUAACAAUUUACAUCCUACUUUUACAUUUUAAAUCCACUUUUACAUUCUAAACACUAUAAAUCCGCUCACUUGGAUGCCUUACCUGUGCUACCUGGUCUAGGGAGCCUGUUUUGGCAGAAGGGUUGCACUAGAUGAUCUUUAGAGGUCCCUUCCAGC